GAUGAAGGAACGUAGUGAAAUGCGAUAAGUAAUGUGAAUUGCAGAAUUCCGUGAAUCAUCGAAUCUUUGAACGCACAUUGCGCCCUCCGGUAUUCCGGAGGGCACGCCUGUCCGAGCGUCAUUACAACCCUCAAGCUCUGCUUGGUAUUGGGCGACCGCCCGCCUGCCCUCGGGCGGCGGACGCGCCUCGAAGAACUCGGCGGUCCCAGGACGGCUCCGGGCGUAGCAAAAGCGAAUCGCCUUGGAGUCCGCCCCGGCGGCCUGCCGCACAAAUGACACGCAACUUUUUUGCAAGGUUGACCUCGGAUCAGGCGGGGAUACCCGCUGAACUUAAGCAUAUCAAUAAGCGGAGGA
rnacentral:misc_RNA from 1 species